rnacentral:lncRNA from 1 species
CAGUGGCUCCUCCUCUUGAUCAGGACUUUUUGGCCGGUUCUCAAUCAUAAUUUGUUUAACUCAUGGUUAGGAGGUUUUUAUCGAUUGAAAGAGAGGAAAAACUGAAGCUUACCAGCGAUUUUGACUUUUUGGUGCGGUGGCUCAGCUGAGCUCAAUCGUUAUUCCUCACAGGUCGCGGUUAUUUUUGGUUAAUCUGCAUAAAAAAUGUGUUAGGUGGUUAAAGGAAGGAGAAAUAGGAAGAACGGAAAGAAAAAUCGUACUCACUGGCACGUUUUGGGUCUCCAAU